GCAGCUAUGGUGAUUCCUGCGAAGAUAACGAAAAUGAGAUCUUUCAACUUACUGUCUCGCCGUUCCUGAAGCUGAAAUGCGGGCUUCAGAGUCCUGGAAACGGUUCUCGGAGGGGCUGGGUUUGAAGCCAGCUGUUGGGGAUCUUCAUAAACAUCAUAAACUCCGAGAAGCGGAGGCAGCACUGUGUAUACCAGGCGCAACGGAGAGCCCAGCUCGGGGCUCCUCGGUCCCCUGGCUGCUCUUUGGAAGUUUCUGUAACUUCCAAGAUAAAGCGUAUCCUAGAUCAAUGCGCGCGCUGGUCAAGUUUAUCACAGCAGACUGACCCUGGAAGUCACAGGGAAGCCAACCGAGUUACCACGUGGCAGCUUUAAGUCACCAGGCACUUGGGGCUCUUCACCCGCCUCCGUUUCUCCCAGACCGCCUGUGCCCCAUCUCCUUGCCCUCCCAGCCUCUUCCCCCAGAGGCGGAACGGGGUCUCCAGCUGGUGGGAUAACAUCCCAGUAACUACACCUAGCAUAUCAGUUCCAAGCAUCCCCUCUAUGAAAAUCAUUUUAGGUUCUAGAAGCAUUUGGUGCAUUAAUCCACCACUCUCGUUAUGAGCAGAAAACUCAGAAAAACAAUUCUCUCUCUCCGUCUCCAGAUACAAGUCCCUGCUGUUGAAGAUCUGUGUUACACUCUAGGCCACGUGUCCUUUGGGCCCCCACUGCUGCCGUGUUUAUUGCACUGCAAUGUAAUCACCUACCUACGUGCCAGCAAAACUCUUGGACUGUAGAAGACAGCUCCAUGCUUCACUCAUGGAGACGGAGUAUGGCACAUCCAAAUUGAGGUCCGUCCCAGAAAUUGGUUUUAAAAAUGGCCCAGGUUCCUCCCUUCCCCCCAAAGUCUUAAGCACGCCCAGGCUUCCUUAUGCAUUCAUCACGGAAGUAACAUCUACCAAAUAUCAGACACAGGUGAAGUCUCACCCCAGGGAGACAGGAAAGAGGUGAUGGGCUCCAAGCACCAGCUUGGUCUUAUUGUGCUGGGCCCUAGUGGGGCAAAGAAAUGCUUUUCCUUUCAAUUUUGCCCCUUUGUGGCUCACAAAUGAUUGCACUCGGACAGCAGCUGUUGAGCUCAGCCAGAAAAACCAUCCCAGCCUUGCCAGGGUGAGAGGAUGAAAUCAGGUGGGUCAAGCAACCCUAAACGCCGAAUGCAAAGGUCUCUAGCGCCAUCUACCGACCCACUGGGGACUCUGCUGGCAAAAAGCCAAGAAAGGCUAGGUGGGGUGGGGGAUGGGAAGUUUUAGUCGGUCACGGUCACUCGGGGCUCAAUGGAGAGAAACUUACAGACCCAUCAGUCCACCUCCUCACCUUCCAGAGGGAGAAACUGAGGACCAAAGUGGUGAAGUGACUUGUCUGAGGUCUUCCCUCUAGCCCACGGCCACCCCAGCUCCUAGAUCCAGAUCUCACUAGAUCUUCCCCACCCCCACUCCGCUCCCAUCGGAAAAUACGAACUCUCAGCCAAGCUGGCUUGGAGAAAUGAGGUCCUGUGAGGCACCCCUUUCCCCUCCAUCUUCUGUUCCACCUUCUUCCUUUUGCACCAACAGCCCCAACUAGACCUGAUAUUUUCUUCUCCUAGAACCUCAUGUCUUUUUAAAAAUUAAAGUGUAAUUGAUUUACAAUAUUCUGUCAAUUUCUGUAAAGAGGUAAUGCAAAUACUGAAGGAAUUAACAGCGGAUCGCAACAGUAAUACAGAUGACUUUAGACAGGAACUAAAAACUAUCAGGAGGAGCCAAGAAAAAUUAGAAAAUUCAUUUGCAGAGACGAAAGCUGAGUUAAAGGCACUGAGGACCAGUCAAUAAUGUGGGGGGCAGGGCAGAUCCUGGCUAUGAGAUAAACAACCCAGUAUCACAGGCAAGGAAACUAAGUCCCGGGGAAAUCAAAGCCUUUGCUUGGAGCGGUGGGUCCACCGCCUGACAUUAGGAUCACCUGGGGAUCUUUCACAGCCUCCAAAACCCAGGCCGUUCCCCAGAUCUGCUCAAGCAGAAUCUCUGGGGAGGAGAUACAAGCUCAGCGGUAGUUUUUGAAGCCGGCCCCACCCCCUCCCCAGGUGAUUCCAAUGGACAGACAAGUUGGACAGCUACGGACUUACAUCCAACCGACUAGCAGGUGAGCCAGCAAAGCCCCAGACCUCUCAACCCCCCAGGCCAGCGAGGAAUAAGGAUGCCCACAUUUCAGUGGUUUGCAUCGUGCUUUGAAGCUUUUGGCCACUUCCCUGUUCUAACUGUAUUAUUAAUCACGUACCAAAUGCCUCCAUUUUACCUGCAUCCAUGUACUUUUAAAAGAACGCUCUUACUUUCCGACGUGGAAAGCCUGUAGCGCUUGCCACAGAACAGAAUGCAACCAGAAAAGGAAAUGCACUUAAAUACAAAGAUUAAAAUAAAAACAUGCAGUCACGUAUGAAACAAAGUUAUUUCAUUUUCUACGCUGAGAGCUACUGGUUCUAAGAGCAAAGAAAGUUCCCCUUCUCAGUUCCUGACAAGACUGAAGCAACUGAGACUGAGAUACACCCAAGAGCAGGACUAUGUGGGCUUAGCUGAUGCCUCUACGUGUGUAACUGAUGGCUCUGCAUGUACGUGUGCCAUUUUUUCCGCUCUUUCUCUCUCCAGCUCUACCAGAAAGCUGGGGGGAAAACGCCCCUCAGGAUUCUCUGUGUUGAAAGCCUGGAGCCCAGGGACUGUGGGUUCUCGGCCAAAUUGCAACAGCAUCCUGCCCAGGGUCUUAUCCAACAGCUGGGCCACCCUCGCUCAUUACUAAGAGCAACAGACAUUCUUUCUGCAUGGCUCGAGCCCCUUCUCCCCGGGCCGGCCCACCUGCUGGAGUAGAACCGUCCGCCCUUUGUCCCCCAGCCUGCAGACCAGCUUCACGACCCACAUUUCCUGCAGGUUGAGUGUCAUCACGCGGCUUGCUCAGAGCACAGCUGUUUGGCAAAGGCCAGCAGCAGAUGCGGCGCCCGGGCUCCAACUGCGCUUGGCUGCCGCAUCCUCUCUCCCACUGACCCAUGGGCAGCUGAGAGCGGCUGUCUUCACUGAACAGAAAGAGGGUUAAUUAGCCAUGACUGGGGAUGACACAAUUUGGGUCUGUUUGGAAAACUGGGGGGAAAUGGGUCUUAUUCAACAACUCCCUGGAAGCAAAUUGUUUAUCCGAGUUUCUCCCCAAAGAGAAUCCUCACCUGGUCACCUU
rnacentral:lncRNA from 1 species